ensembl:lncRNA
AUGUGGAAAACCAGUUGCAGAUCCAGAUUGAGAAAAAUCCAUCUGAGAAAAAAUGAAGAAAAUACAUCAGCCUCUUUAAUUAGGGGUUAUACUUUCUUUAAAUCAAGAGCUUUAGGAAGUCCCGUAACUCACCCACCUCCUUCCCCUUCCCCUCCUCCUCCUCCUCCUCCACCUCCACCUCCUCCUCCUCCUCCUCCACCUUCCCCUAAAGUACCAGAAGAAAAUAUUCAAUAUUCAAUACCAAAUCCUCUGCUGUGUACUACAGAUGCCCCAAGUGAAACCCUGCAAGUUUCAUAUUUCUCUACCCCAAGUACAUCAAGUGCAGUGGCACAAAGACCAUCUUUAGUAGAACCAUUUUUAUUAGAUAAAUCUGUGCAAGUUUCCUCAUAUUCAGAUCUAAGCACAGGGGGAGAAUUAACAGAAUUUCCUCCUUCCACCAGCACAAGUUCAGCAAGUGAAUCCACAAAAGGUCUCUCAACUUCCAGCUCAGAAGAUCACAUUGCUUCCAGAUUAACUGCACUGACCAAAGCUGUGCAAUUUCCUUCUGUCUCAGAUGUGGCUACAUCAACAGAUGUCUCAGAAAAUCCAUCCAUGGAAGAAGCCAUACCAUUUGCAUUGACCAAAGCUGUGCAAUGCCCUUCUGUUUCAGAUGUGGCUACAUCAACGGAUGUCUCAGAAAAUCUAUCCAUGGAAGAUGCCACACCACUUGCAUUGACCAAAGCUGUGCAAUGUCCUUCUGUCUCAGACAUAGCUACAUCAACAGAUGUCAUAGAAAAUCCACCCAUGGAUGAUGUCGUAACACCUGAAUUGACCAAAGCUGUACGAUGUGUGUGUAUCUCAGACGUGUCUAUAUCAACAGAUAUUAUAGAAGAUCUGAAUCAAUCUGUGAAGUCUUCUCCUAUCUCAGGCCCAAAAGAACCAAUAGAUGUCCCUGCUUUCUCUGAACUAACAUCAAUAAGGGAACCCAUACAAGCUCUAAUGUCUCCUAGUAGACCCACACAAAUCCUUCCUAUCUUAGAUCCCAUGCCCACUAAUGAAUUUGUAACAGGUGAACUUCUGCCUAACUUGGUCCCAAGUCCGUCAAGAGAAUUUAUACAAGAUCUCACCAUCUCCAGAACAAUUUCAGGAAGCAAAUCUGUGCAAGUUCCUUCAUCUGCUGGCAUAAUUUCUUCAUGUAAAUCUAUAAAAUUUUCUUCUUCCUCCAUUGGAUUUUCAAUGACAAAAGCCAAACAAGUUCCUUUAUAUUGUUGUGCUUCAACAUCAAGUGAAUCCAUAGAAGUUCCAUCUUUCUCAGUAAUGCUUUCAUCAAAUCAAGCCACACAAGUUCCUUCUUUCUCUGAUCUAGGCCCACCACAAGAAAACAUACACAGGCCCUUACCCCACAAAUUUAGUGGUCUGCACAAAUCAACCCAAGUUCCUGCUUUUUCUGAUGAAAGUUCAUCUAUUGUAGGCAUGGAAAUAGCUGGAUCUUUCUCUGGUCCACUUUCAUCAAGAGAAUGCAUACAACACUCCUCAGAUAUUGUGGCUGUUUCAGGCAGCAGGCUUCUGUCUCCUCCACAUUCUGAUCCAGCUAUACCAGACAUAAGCACAGAAGAAUUACCAUAUUCCCAAGAACCACAUUCAUCAAAAGAAUUGAUAAAUGCUUCUUUCUCUGAAACUAAUUCACCAAGAGAAGGUACACAAGUUCCCUCUACUUGUGAUGCUUUUGACAUUACCAACAGUGAACAACUUUCUUUGAUUUCUGAUUUAAAUGCAACAGUAGUAGGAAGAGAAAAAAUCAUGUCUUUUUCAGGUUCACUGUUAUCGAGGAAACCAUUAGAAUACUCCUCAAAUUUUGUUGCUAUUUCAGUUACCAAGCAAACAAAACUUCCUUCUUCCUCUGAUCCAAGAUCAUUGAAUGUGAACACAGAAGAAUUUUCAUCUAUCUUGUUUCCGUUUUGUCCAGUAGUAUCCAGGCAGUUUUCUGAUUUCUCUGAGACAAGUUUAGCAAGAGAAAAUAUACAAAUUCCGUCUAUCCUUGGAUCUGUUUCCGUGAAUGAAGCCGAACAGUUUUCUCACUCCUCUGGUAGAAGUUCACGAAGAGUUACUUUAGAAGCUCCUACUCAUGUUGCUGUCACAGAGAGAAAAUCUGUACAAGUACCUAAUGAAGCCAUACAGUUUUCUCACUCCUCUGGUAGAAGUUCACGAAGAGUUACUUUAGAAGCUCCUACUCAUGUCACUGUCACAGAGAACAAAUCUGUACAAGUAUCUAAUGAAGCUUUGCAGUUUUUUCACUCUCAUAAAGGUACACAAAGAGACACUUUAGAAGCUCCCUCUACUCAUGUCACUGUCACAGAGAACAAAUCUGUACAAGUAUCUAAUGAAGCCACACGGUUUUCUCACUCCUCUCGUAAAAGUUCACGAAGAGACACUUCAGAAGCUCCCUCUACUCAUGUUGCUGUCACAGUGAGAAAAUCUGUGCAAGUACCUAAUGAAGCCACACAGUUUUCUCACUCUGGUACAAGUUCACGAAGAGACACCUUAGAAGCUCCCUCUACUCAUAUUGCUGUCAUAGUAAGAAAAUCUCUACUACCUAAUGAAGCUGCGCAGUUUUCUCACUCUGGUACAACUUCACGAAGAGACACUUCAGAAGUUCCCUCUACUUGUGUCUCUGUCACAGAGGACAAAUCUGUACAAGUAUCUAAUGAAGCCACACAGUUUGAUCCCUCUACUCAUGUCACUGUCACAGAGAACAAAUCUGUACAAGUAUCUAAUGAAGCCACACAGUUUGAUCCCUCUACUCAUGUCACUGUCACAGAGGACAAAUCUGUACAAGUAUCUAAUGAAGCUUUGCAGUUUUUUCACUCUCAUAAAGGUUCACAAAGAGUCACUUUAGAAGAUCCCUCUACUCAUGUCACUGUCACAGAGAACAAAUCUGUGCAAGUACCUAAUGAAACCUCACAAUCUUGUCACUCCUCUCACAAAAGUUCACAAAGAGACACUUUAGAAGCUCCCUCUAUUCAUGUUGCUGUCACAGAGAACAAAUCUGCACAACCACCUAACCUCUCAGCUGCAGGCUUGUCAACAAUGCAGAUAAAAGAAGUCCUAUCUUUCUCAUCACUACUUUCCCAAGAGGAAUCCAUUCAAAAUCCCACAAACCUUGCUGUUAUUUCAGUCAAAAAGCUUACACAACUUCCUUUUUCUGAUCUAAAUCCAUUGAAUGUGAGUACAGAAGAACUUCCACCUGUCUUGAAUCCAUUUUGUCCAAUAGUAUCCAGGCAGUUUUCUGAUUUCUCUGAGACAAAUUUAACAAGAGAAACAAAAACUUCACAAAUUCCCCCCACUCGCCUCACUCUAAUGGUGAAUAAGUCAACACAACUUACUUCUUCCUUUAAUGUGUCUUCAUCAACUAUAUCCAGAGAAGAAAUUCAAUCUUUCCCAGGCCCUCUGAAAUCAAGGGAAAUCACCCAACAUCCCUCAAACACUGAAGUUAUGUUAGUCGAUGAAUUCACACAAUUUCCUUCUCUCUCUAACUUAAAUUCAUUGAACGAGAACACAAAUUUAUUGAGUGAGAAUACAGAACAACUUCCAUGUGUCUCACUUUCAACAAUAUCCAGGCAGUUUUCUGAUUUCUCUGAGACAAAUUUAGCAAGAGAAAACAUACAAUUUCCCUCUAUCCUUGAACACAUUCCUGUGAGAGAACGCACACCAUUUUCCGACUCCUUUGAUAAACAUUUACCAACAAAAACUUUACAAGUUUCCUCUACCCAUCUUGUGGACAAAUCAACACAACUUACCUCCAUGUCUGAUACAGAUUUAACAAAUGUAUCCCUUGAAGAAGUUUCAUCUUUUCCAGGUCCACAUUUACCUCAAGAAUCUGUACAGCUUCCCUCAAAUUUUGCUGCUGUUUCAGUCAACAAGGCCACCCAAUUCCCUUCCUCCUCUGACAUCAGUUCAUGAAGCACAGGCACCCAUCUUUCCAAGUUCCAGUUUCACCAAAAGAAUCCAGUGCUCCUGCUUUCUCUGGAGGGAAUUCAUCAAAUGAAGAUGUACAAGUUUCCUCUACCUGCUCUGCUUCUCUAGUUCCCAAGUCUGCACAAGUUCCUUCCUUCUCUGAUCCAAGUUCAUUAGCACAAUACAUAGAAGUUAGGUUUUUCUUAGGUCCAACUUAGUCGACAGAAUUCAAACAUCUCUCAAUUUCAUUACUUCAGACAGCAAAUCUGCCCAAUUUCCAUCUUUCUCUGACAAGUUUGUCAAUCCUAUAAAGACAAUAAAGUUACUAAGUCCAAACA